rnacentral:rRNA from 1 species
GAUGAACGCUAGCAGCAGGCUUAACACAUGCAAGUCGAGGGGUAUAUAUCAGUAGCUUGCUACAGAUAUAGAGACCGGCGCACGGGUGCGUAACGCGUAUGCAAUCUACCUUAAUCAGAGGGAUAGCCCAGAGAAAUUUGGAUUAAUACCACAUAGUAUUAUAGAUUGGCAUCAAUCAAUAAUUAAAGAUUUAUCGGAUUAAGAUGAGCAUGCGUCCCAUUAGCUAGUUGGUAUGGUAACGGCAUACCAAGGCGAUGAUGGGUAGGGGUCCUGAGAGGGAGAUCCCCCACACUGGUACUGAGACACGGACCAGACUCCUACGGGAGGCAGCAGUGAGGAAUAUUGGACAAUGGAGGCAACUCUGAUCCAGCCAUGCCGCGUGUAGGAAGACUGCCUUAUGGGUUGUAAACUACUUUUAUACAGGAAGAAACCUACCCUUGCGAGGGUAAUUGACGGUACUGUAAGAAUAAGGAUCGGCUAACUCCGUGCCAGCAGCCGCGGUAAUACGGAGGAUCCAAGCGUUAUCCGGAAUCAUUGGGUUUAAAGGGUUCGUAGGCGGUUAAAUAAGUCAGUGGUGAAAGUUUUCAGCUCAACUGGAAAAAUGCCAUUGAUACUGUUUAGCUUGAAUUAGUGUGAAGUAACUAGAAUAAGUAGUGUAGCGGUGAAAUGCAUAGAUAUUACUUAGAAUACCGAUUGCGAAGGCAGGUUACUAACACUAUAUUGACGCUGAUGGACGAAAGCGUGGGGAGCGAACAGG